AAGGGAGGCGCUUGGUGACAUGGACAGCCGUCUCUUCGGGUUCGUGAGGCUUCAUGAAGAUGGCGCCAGAACGAAGACCCUACUAGGCAAGGCUGUUCGCUGCUACGAAUCUUUAAUCUUAAAAGCUGAAGGAAAAGUGGAGUCUGACUUCUUUUGCCAAUUAGGUCACUUCAACCUCUUGUUGGAAGAUUAUUCGAAAGCAUUAUCUGCAUAUCAGAGAUAUUACAGUUUACAGGCUGACUACUGGAAGAAUGCUGCAUUUUUAUAUGGCCUUGGUUUGGUCUACUUCUACUACAAUGCAUUUCAUUGGGCAAUUAAAGCAUUUCAAGAUGUCCUUUAUGUUGACCCCAGCUUUUGUCGAGCCAAGGAAAUUCAUUUACGGCUUGGGCUCAUGUUCAAAGUGAACACAGACUACAAGUCUAGUUUAAAGCAUUUUCAGUUAGCCUUGAUUGACUGUAAUCCAUGUACUUUGUCCAGUGCUGAAAAGGAAGUAUCAUUCUGCAAAGGAAGCAUAUGAACAACUUUUGCAGACAGAAAACCUUCCUGCACAAGUAAAAGCAACUGUAUUGCAACAGUUAGGUUGGAUGCAUCAUAAUAUGGAUCUAGUAGGAGACAAAGCCACAAAGGAAAGCUAUGCUAUUCCGUAUCUCCAAAAGUCUUUGGAGGCAGAUCCUAAUUCUGGCCAAUCGUGGUAUUUUCUUGGAAGGUGUUAUUCAAGUAUUGGGAAAGUUCAGGAUGCCUUUGUAU
rnacentral:sRNA from 1 species